AACCCUGCCCUUAGUUACCAUCAUUAAGUUCGGUACUCUAGGGGACUGCCGGUGACAAGCCGGAGGAAGGUGGGGAUGACGUCAAGUCAUCAUCCGGUUACGGGCUGGGCUACACACGUGCUACAAUGGCGGUGACAGUGGGCAGCGAUGGGGCGACCCUGAGCUAAUCUCCAAAAACCGUCUAGUUCGGAUUGUUCUCUGCAACUCGAGAGCAUGAAGUCGGAAUCGCUAGUAAUCGCGUAUCAGCAUGACGCGGUGAAUACGUUCCCGGGCCUU
rnacentral:rRNA from 1 species